GGNNNNNNNNNNNNGCUUAUACAUGCAGUCGAACGGAGACUGUAGCAAUACUGUCUUAGUGGCGAACGGGUGAGUAACGCGUUGGUGACCUGCCCCGAAGAGGGGGAUAACAGUCCGAAAGGAUUGCUAAUACCCCAUGUGGUCGUUUGGAUUAGAUGCCUUACGACUAAACGGAUUUAUUCGCUUCGGGAGGGGCCUGCGUCCCAUCAGCUAGUUGGUAGGGUAAUAGCCUACCAAGGCGAUGACGGGUAGGGGACCUGAGAGGGUGGCCCCCCACAAUGGAACUGAAACACGGUCCAUACACCUACGGGUGGCAGCAGUAGGGAAUAUUGGUAAUCUGGGAAACCGGGAACCAGCAACGCCGCGUGCGCGAUGAAGGCCUUCGGGUUGUAAAGCGCUUUUUAAAGGGAUGAGGAAGGACAGUACCUUUAGAAUAAGCCUCGGCUAACUACGUGCCAGCAGCCGCGGUAAAACGUAGGAGGCGAGCGUUAUCCGGAUUUACUGGGCGUAAAGCGUGUGCAGGCGGUUUGAUAAGUUGGAUGUGAAAGCUCCUGGCUUAACCGGGAGAGGUCGUUCAAAACUAUCAGACUAGAGAGUGGUAGAGGGAGAUGGAAUUCCGCGUGUAGUGGUGAAAUGCGUAGAUAUGCGGAGGAACACCAGUGGCGAAAGCGGUCUCCUGGCCCAUUUCUGACGCUCAGACACGAAAGCUAAGGUAGCAAACGGGAUUAGAGACCCCGGUAGUCUUAGCUGUAAACGAUGUGAACUUGGUGUCGGUGGGGUUAAAUCCAUCGGUACUGAAGCUAACGCGAUAAGUUCACCGCCUGGGGACUACGGCCGCNAGGUUAAACUCAAGGAAUUGACGGGGCCCCGCACAAGCAGCGGAGCGUGUGGUUUAAUUCGAUGCUACACGAAGAACCUUACAGGGUUUGACAUGCAAGUGGUAGAGAAGCGAAAGCGGAUCGACCCCUCGGGGAGCUUGCACAGGUGCUGCAUGGCUGUCGUCAGCUCGUGUCGGGAGAUGUUCCGGUUAAGU
rnacentral:rRNA from 1 species